rnacentral:lncRNA from 1 species
CAGGCCCUGUUCUAAAUAUUAAUGUGGAUAUUUUGUUUAAGUCUCAUCAUUUUUCAAGAGUGAACACUUCAGUGGUCUGUAGUCCCUCAGUUGCACUGGACACAGUUGAGGCCCUCAGGAGCCACGCGGGGUCAGCGGUGGUGGCAUUGGGCAGAGCAGGUGUAGUGAUUUGGAGAGGGGACAGGCUCAGCAUCAGUAUUUCUGCUGCAUCCCUCUGUAAACAUCUCAUGAAGUGGCUGAUUUGUGAGAAGAGGAUCAUCUACCUCCUGCAUUCAAUCUCAUGAGUAGUUGGGAAGAACAGAUGAAGUGAGGCUGUGAAGCACUGUUGCAAUCUAAGGCACUGCUUAGACAUUGGUUGAGGCUCUAACCCAUGGUCUCCCUGGAGUGGUGACUCCUGUGGUCUCCGGGGACCUUUCUCCUUCUGUGUGUGCAGCUCCAGCCAGGGUGUUUGAAGGUAGAACAUUCUUUAGGAUACAGAAUAAUGAAGCCUCAGGGUUCAUUUCAGACUUCCUAGCAGGCUGGAUAGGGGGUGUCGUUCUUGGGAAGUUCCUCCUGGCGUCUCUGAAAUCAUUCAGAAAAAGGUUGUCCAGGUGCCUCCAGUGGGUGUUCUUGGCUGAUGUUUGUCCUGCGUUCCUCUGACUGCUAGGCUUAAGCGUCUUCAACUCAGAGUUCAAUUCCUCACAUGCUGGAAGGCAGGACAGCGAGCACUCUGGGAGGUCCACCAAGCACUUUGUGCUCCAUUCCCUGCACUGUCUGCUCAGGAAACCUCCUCACGCAACCAUCUGAGGCCUGGUCCUUAAAGUGGAACCUGUCACGCUGGAGCUGAGUGUUGCCUCGGUCCACACAGCAUCUUGGAGACAUUUAUGGUUUCUGCUCUGAGUGUCUCUUGAUGGAAUUGUUAGUGGCUGCUGCAAUGCAGAUAAUAUGGAAAACUAUUGUGGUAACUGUGGCUAUUGGCAUGGUGGCUUUCCACCUGGGAUCCCUGGAGUCUUGGCGCCUGGCAGGGGCAGCACUGGGAGGAGGAGGAGACUGAGCUGGUGAGGACCUGAGCCAUUGAUCCCUUCUCUCCUACCCCCUAUGUGCCCUUAAUCCAAAGCAGUUUUUAACCUCCCUGCCUUUUGUAAAUGAUAAAGUUUUGGAUAAGAUGUUAUUUAAAGAAAUAUUUUGAUGCCAAGACAUGUUGAAAGUCCCUGCAGUGGGGAAGUCAGGAAAAGUUGGUAUAAUGCUGGGUUAUUAACCUUCUUUGGUGCAAGACCUUUUUUUGAGAUGUGAUGAAACUGUUUCUCCAAAAAAAGCUCAUACCCCACAAUAUUGCAUCAGGAUUGCUGAGGCCAUCUGUGCAUGUGGCCCACACCCCUGGUUAGGGAUCCCUUGUCAAUUGGGAAGAUUAUGGGUUGUGGAUACAGACAGAUAGAGAUUUAACCCUGCCUCAGACUUCACUCACUUUUUAACCUCAGGGUAUCUUAGUAAACCUCUUUACAUUCCAGUUUGUUGUCUGUAAAACAGGGACAAUUAUGUAUUUUUGUGAAGAUGAGAGAACUUCAAAUGUCAAAUCACAUGGUA